CAGUCGCCGCGGGAAUACGGAGGGUGCAAGCGUUAAUCGGAAUUACUGGGCGUAAAGCGUGCGUAGGCGGUUCGUUAAGCCUGUUGUGAAAGCCCCGGGCUCAACCUGGGAACGGCAAUGGAUACUGGCGAGCUAGAGUGUGUCAGAGGAUGGUGGAAUUCCCGGUGUAGCGGUGAAAUGCGUAGAUAUGCGGAGGAACACCGAUGGCGAGGGCAGCCCCCUGGGCCAACACUGACGCUCAUGCACGAAAGCGUGGGGAGCAAACAGGAUUAGAUACCCGUGUAGUCCCUGUCUCUUAUAC
rnacentral:rRNA from 1 species